UACGAAGGGGGCUAGCGUUGUUCGGAAUUACUGGGCGUAAAGCGCACGUAGGCGGAUUGUUUAGUUAGGGGUGCAAUCCCAGGGCUCAACCCUGGAACUGCCUCUAAUACUGGCAAUCUAGAGUCCGAGAGAGGUGAGUGGAAUUCCGAGUGUAGAGGUGAAAUUCGUAGAUAUUCGGAAGAACACCAGUGGCGAAGGCGACUCGCUGGACAAGUAUUGACGCUGAGGUGCGAAAGCGUGGGGAGCAAACAGG
rnacentral:rRNA from 1 species